UAUCUCAAAAAAAAAUUUUUUUUGUUUUUAAAAAGAGAAUACUUUGAAGACGAUCAGAUACCGUCAUAGUUUCGACCAUAAACGCUGCCCAAUGCCAACUGGCACUAUGGUGGCGUUAUUCCCAUGACCUGCCGGGCAGCUUCCAGGAAAGCAAAGUCUUUGGGUUCCCGGGGGAGUAUGGUUGUAAAAGCUGAAACUUAAACAAAUUGACGGAAGGGCACCAAUUUUUUUUUUUUUUGAGACGGAGUUUUGCUCUUGUUACCCAGGGUGGAGUGCAUUGGCACGGAAUCUUGGCUCACUG
rnacentral:ncRNA from 1 species